rnacentral:snRNA from 1 species
GUCCCCUCCGGGGUGACAUACGACAAAAUUGGAACGAUACAGAGAAGAUUAGCAUGGCCCCUGCACAAGGAUGACACGCUUUACCGGAGUGGUAUUCUCUAUGGAG